rnacentral:lncRNA from 1 species
AGUGGUAGGAAUUUGACAGGGAUGAGAAAAAUUGUUUGAGAAUCCAGAUUUUUAAGGUGCAUGAGAAAAAUAAUGAUCUAAAAUUACUGCAGAGUCUUUCCUGUCUAUCUAUAGUUCUCAUAGUCUUUGAGAAGAAUUAAACUAUCUUCUCUUGACAGUGUAAAGGAGGUUACAGUCUACUGUGCUCUGUUGUCUAAAGAAUAAACUGGAAAUAAUGUAUAGCACUGGAAACUCAGUCAUGAUAUUAUGAUAAUAUUCAAUUAACUUAUAUGGAAUUAAAAUGACCUGUCCAAAGGAGAAAGAAUGUGAAUUGUUUUACAAUCAAUAUGUGAAGACACCCACUGAUGUCAAGAAACGGGAUACAUUCAGGGCAAAGGGAUCUGCUGUGAUGUUCCUAUUUGGGUUUUGCUGUUUGGAAAGGCAGAAACGUUACAUUACUCUUCUUUGAUGGGCAAGAACAUCCUGUUAGAGUAUUCUUUGUCUACUACUUCCACUUAUAGUAAUAAUUGCUUUUCCUGUCUGUUUAAGCCUACAGGAUUGACAAGAGAGAGGGAGAUGGGAUUCUUUUCUCUUACUUAAAGAUUGGUGACAGGAGAGAGAUUCUAACAAAAGUUCAGUUCUUUAGACAGCAAAUGUUUUGUGAGGACAAGCAAGACUUUCUUAGAAAAAACAAAAAAAAAUAGAAAAGUUAAGUAGGUUAAAGUUCUUUCACCUUCUUGUUCUGAUCAACAGGGGCUUUUUAGAUUCAUUUUCUAUUGCAUCUUAAUUGCAGCACACACCAUCAAAAAAAUAGCAGUUACAUCAACUGGAAAUGAAAUCCCAACAUACCUCACUCUCCUCAGUUAUAUUUGGUCAAGCAAAAGAAAGUCCGAGAUGUAAUUUAAAAAGAUACGAAACAAAAUUUCAAGUUUUGUAAUAAGUAAAUAAUGCUGAACUUAAAUUAAUGUAUUUUUCUAUGUUACUUGUAAAACACAUGUAAUUUCAAACAAGAGAGGCAGUUUGGCACCUUUGAAGUUUUUGGAGAGAUGAGAUGUGAUCUGAAAAGGUUAAUUGGUAUCUAGGUUGCUCCUGUUCAACAAAUUCCAUUCAUUUUUUAUUGUAAUUCAGUAAGCUUUUUCAGAAACAAGCAAAUAUAACUCUUUUAUUAAAUACUCUAAAAUCAACAUAAGACAAAGCCUAGAAUUUGCCUGGGGCAAGAUACAUAUAGAAUGCUUGUUUUGUACAUUACUGUCAGAGUAGAUCUUACUUAUAUUAAAUAAAAGACAUUAAAAUAUUCA